rnacentral:rRNA from 1 species
GACGAACGCUGGCGGCGUGCUCAACACAUGCAAGUCGAACGGAAAGGCCUGCUUUCCCUUGUGGAUUGCGGGUACUCGAGUGGCGAACGGGUGAGUAACACGUGAGUGAUCUGCCCCCAACUUGGGUAUAAGCCUGGGAAACUGGGUCUAAUUCCCGAUAGGACUGCAGGGUGGUGCCUGUGGUGGAAAACGAUUUUCUAGUGGUUGGGGAUGAGCUCGCGGCCUAUCAGCUUGUUGGUGGGGUAAUGGCCUACCAAGGCGGCGACGGGUAGCCGGCCUGAGAGGGUGGACGGCCACAUUGGGACUGAGAUACGGCCCAGACUCCUACGGGAGGCAGCAGUGGGGAAUAUUGCACAAUGGGCGGAAGCCUGAUGCAGCGACGCCGCGUGGGGGAUGACGGCCUUCGGGUUGUAAACUCCUUUCGACCGCGAGGAAGCCACCUGGUUGGAAGGGUGGUGACGGUAGUGGUAGAAGAAGCACCGGCUAACUACGUG